rnacentral:lncRNA from 1 species
AGUUAAUUUAUGGGCUGGGGAGCACUAAUGAAUUGAUGCAUAUUUUGUCCAGUGUGAAGUCCUUUGUGAAUGAGCCACAUUUUUUACUCAUUCAAGUCCCUACAGCAUAAUCACAUAGAUUAACUCACUUGGAUCGUUAAUUGUUACACUGUAAGAACUCCACAAACUUGAUCAGAGAGAUUCCACUUAUUUCAAAGUUACUGAGGCCAGAACAGUUCUCCCUCAUCCCUUCAAGUGAGUUUGUUUCAUAUAUGUGUAAUCUAAUUAGAUUGUUUGUCACAUUCUCCAUUCCAUCUUGGAGCCCUGUGACCUCUUAUUUUUUAAUUUGCAUAUGUUAAGCUUCACUCUUUGUGCUAUAAAGUUCUUUUAGUUUUGAAAAUUGCAUUGUGUCAUGUAUCCACCCUUACUGUUUUAUACAGAAGAGGUUUGCUACCCAAAAAUAUCCCCUGAGUUUCCCCUAUAUAACCCUCUAUCCCCAAACCCUGGUACAGUGAUCAGUGGAUCAGUUUUCUACCUUACAUUUUUUUUUUUUUUUUGCCAGAUUGCCAUAUAGUUGGAAUCAUAUAGUAUGUAGUUUUUUUCAGUCUGGCUUCUUUCACUUAGCAACACACAUUUAAGAUUAACCCAUGUCUCUGUAUGGCUUGAGAGCACAUUCCUUAUCACUGGAUAGUUGUCUUAGUAUGUUAACACUGCUGUAAUGAAAUGUCAUUAACUGGGUGACUUAUACACAACAGAAAUUUUUUUCUCAAAGUUCUGGUGUCUGGAAAUUUUAAGAUCAAGGUGCCAGCAGAUUCGAUUUCUUGCAAGUGUCUGCUUCCUAGAUGGCCAUCUUUUCAUUAGAACCUCACAUGGCAGAAGGAGCAAGGAGCUCUCUCAGACCUCUUUUAUAAGUGCAUCAGUCCUAUUCUUAAGAGCUUCAUUUUCAUGACCUAAUUACCUUUCAAAGGCCCCAUCUUCUAAUACCAUCACUUUGGGGUUAGGAUUUCAACAUAUGACUUUUGUGCAGACACAAACAUUUGAAUGACAGCAAUAGUAUUCCAUUGUAUGGAUAUAUAAAAAUUGUUUAUCCAUUCCCUUAUUGAAGGUCCC